rnacentral:rRNA from 1 species
CUCCUGGAUUAGUGGCGAACGGGUGAGUAACACGUGAGUAACCUGCCCUUGACUCUGGGAUAAGCCUGGGAAACUGGGUCUAAUACCGGAUAUGACUCCUCAUCGCAUGGUGGGGGGUGGAAAGCUUUAUUGUGGUUUUGGAUGGACUCGCGGCCUAUCAGCUUGUUGGUGAGGUAAUGGCUUACCAAGGCGACGACGGGUAGCCGGCCUGAGAGGGUGACCGGCCACACUGGGACUGAGACACGGCCCAGACUCCUACGGGAGGCAGCAGUGGGGAAUAUUGCACAAUGGGCGAAAGCCUGAUGCAGCGACGCCGCGUGAGGGAUGACGGCCUUCGGGUUGUAAACCUCUUUCAGUAGGGAAGAAGCGAAAGUGACGGUACCUGCAGAAGAAGCGCCGGCUAACUACGUGCCAGCAGCCGCGGUAAUACGUAGGGCGCAAGCGUUAUCCGGAAUUAUUGGGCGUAAAGAGCUCGUAGGCGGUUUGUCGCGUCUGCCGUGAAAGUCCGGGGCUCAACUCCGGAUCUGCGGUGGGUACGGGCAGACUAGAGUGAUGUAGG